GCCGGGGCACGGUGGUGUGUGCCUGUAGUCCCAGCUACUCACAAGGCUGAGGUGGGAGGAUCGCUUGAGCCCAGGAGUUCUGGGCUAUAGUGCGCUAUGCCGAUUGGGUGUCCGCACUAAGUUCGGCAUCAAUAUGGUGACCUCCCGGGAGCAAGGGACCACCAAGUUGCCUAAGGAGGGGUGAACUGGCCCAGGUCGGAAACAGAGCAGGUCAAAACUCCCAUGCUGAUCAGUAGUGGGAUCACGCCUGUGAAUAGCCACUGCACUCCAGCCUGGGCAACAUAGCAAGACCCCUCUCU
rnacentral:SRP_RNA from 1 species